rnacentral:rRNA from 1 species
AGGCCUAACACAUGCAAGUCGAGGGGUAACGAUGGCUUCGGCCAGGCGACGACCGGCGCACGGGUGAGUAUCGCGUUUGUAACCUACCUCUGACUGGAGGAUAGCCCGAAGAAAUUCGGAUUAAUACUCCAUAAUACUAUGGACAGGCAUCUGUUCAUGGUUAAAGCCCCGGCGGUCAGAGAUGGGCAUGCGUGACAUUAGCUUGUUGGUGAGGUAACAGCUCACCAAGGCUACGAUGUCUAGGGGGUCUGAGAGGAUGGUCCCCCACACUGGUACUGAGACACGGACCAGACUCCUACGGGAGGCAGCAGUGAGGAAUAUUGGUCAAUGGGCGAAAGCCUGAACCAGCCAUGCCGCGUGAAGGAUGACAGCCCUAUGGGUUGUAAACUUCUUUUGUACGGGAAGAAACGCUUCUACGUGUAGAGGUUUGACGGUACCGUACGAAUAAGCAUCGGCUAACUCCGUGCCAGCAGCCGCGGUAAUACGGAGGAUGCAAGCGUUAUCCGGAUUUAUUGGGUUUAAAGGGUACGUAGGCGGGAGCUUAAGUCAGUGGUGAAAUCCUGCAGCUUAACUGUAGAACUGUCAUUGAUACUGGGCUUCUUGAAUGUAGUUGAGGUAGGCGGAAUGUGUAAUGUAGCGGUGAAAUGCUUAGAUAUUACACAGAACACCGAUUGCGAAGGCAGCUUACUAAACUACGAUUGACGCUGAGGUAACGAAAAGCCGUUGGGGGAGCCGAAACAGCGAUUUAGAAUUACCCUGGGGUAGUCCACGCUGUAAACGAUGAUCACUCGUUGUUGGCAAUACACCGUCAGCGACUGAGCGAAAGNCUUAGUGAUCCANCUGGGGAGUACGA